UAUAAGGGCAAGUGUUUUUUUCACCUCGCACAAUCAACAGUGAGACGUUCACAUGCAAAACAUGGCUCUUCCCGCUCCCACAUUUGGUGACAUGAUUGAGAUCAACAGAGGUCGAUACAAACACUGGGCCCUGUACAUUGGAAAUGAAAAGCUCAUCCAUUUGGUAGUUCAAGGCAGAUGACUUCCUGAAUAAUUUCAUAGAAGGUUGCUGCCUGUUUGUUGGACUGGCUGCUGGUGCUGCUUCUACAGAUGCUGCAGCAAGCACACUUAGUAAAUAGGUUUCUUGGGAGUCCAUUGAGAAUGUCAUUGACGUAACACUUUGUUCAUAGCCUAAUGAAUAAAAUACAGAGACCAA